UUUAACCUGAAGGUUCAAAGGUCAUAAAGGUCAAAAACAGCCAUCAAACAGCACGAAAAAACUGAAAAGGACUAACUGGUCUGGACUAACCGGAGCUGAUGACUGUCUCCUGGAAAUGUAAUUUCCACCAGACGAGGCCCGUGAAGGAGAUCAAAAUCAGCUCUGGCACAAUUAAGACCAGCAGCCCUUUCUCCUAAUCUCCAACCCACAACGGCGUGGUCUCUGUAAUGGAGCAGCUGCACGGCGUCCACCGACAGCAUCACCGUCCGACCACGUCAAAGGUUCCUCAUUCAUGAGGCUGACAGAACAGGAAGUGAAUAAACAGCUGCCUGUGGUCCUCCUUCUUCUUCUUCUCUCCCCCGAUCGACCUCCCACUCUGCUGUAAUGACUGGCUUCAUCACCGCGGCCUG